rnacentral:rRNA from 1 species
CCUACGGGUGGCAGCAGUAGGGAAUAUUGGACAAUGGGCGAAAGCCUGAUCCAGCGACGCCGCGUGCGGGAUGAAGGCCUUCGGGUUGUAAACCGCUUUUGUAAGGGAGCAAUUUCUGAGUGUACCUAACGAAUAAGAGGUUGCUAACUCUGUGCCAGCAGCAGCGGUAAUACAGAGACCUCAAGCGUUAUCCGGAAUCAUUGGGCGUAAAGCGUACCGAUAGGCGGUCUGUAAAGUUCUUUGUUAAAUCCCACGGCUUAACCGUGGAAGCGCGGGGAAUACUCACAGACUAGAGGGGCAAAGAGGAAGCCGGAACGAACGGAGUAGCAGUGAAAUGCGUUGAUAUCGUUCGGAACACCAAAAGCGAAGGCAGGCUUCUGGGUGCCACCUGACGCUGCUAGGACGAGAGCGUGGGGAGCGAAUGGGAUUAGAUACCCU